AAAAAACUGGGUCAGCUACUUCCAGGAAAGUAUCCCUGUUCUUCAGCAGGAGCCUAAGGAUGCACAGUCACCCCACCAGCAAGUGAAAGGUACCCAAGAGGGGGACUAAACCUGCCUGUAAAAGCCCUGGGCACAGCUCUGCCCUGCAGUGCAACAGAGACCUUUGAAAGGGCUUCUGAGAACCUGACCGUCACUGACUCCAGCGCAAAGAGCUUCAGCACAAACAUCUCUGGAAACCAGAUAAAAAGCAAAAAGCCCUGUGAGUCUGUCUCCCAAACUACCACCAUUCACCGCUUCCUACAAAGAGAGCAAUUCUGGUACCGACGCAUGACUCCUGUGUGAAGAUGGAUAUAUAGUAUCACUGAAAACUGGAGCAAAAACAGACGUGAUGUGAGCAGCCAUAAAGAUGACCUGGUUAUAAUGGGAAAAAACAGAAGAUGUUUGCUGAAAUAGUGACAGAGAAAAUGCCUGCAAGCCUAGAAAUUGGAGACAUCCUGAGAUACCAUCAAUCUGCCCAAAACAAGAAACUAUAACCAGAACUUUUUGUCUGGAAAAGGGAGAAAAUACCAGGAGAAUGUAGGAAUUGACAAAAAUCUGGAAAAAUAAAAAUUGGUCUGGGAGAAAAGAACACACCAUCAUCUACUGGCUGUCCCAAGGGAAAUACAGGAAUUAGCAGCAUCUACCAACUGCUGAAUGUAGUGGUGUCCUGCAUCCCCUUUUGUCUGCGCCCCACAUGAAUGACUUACUUGUACCCAGCAUGGAGCCUCUUUAAGAGCCAGCUCCACGCAAAUCAUCCUCAGGGUGUGUUUGUAUACAUUCCUUUACUAACAGUAAUUUUUAGUAAUCUGUAAUAA